UUAUCUCUGUAGAGUCUGCAUAUCAAUAAGCGGAGGAAAAGAAACUAACUAGGAUUCCCUCAGUAACGGCGAGUGAAGCGGGAAGAGCUCAAAUUUGAAAUCUUCAAGGUUCUACCUUGACGAAUUGUAGUUUAAAGUAAGUGUUUUCUGUUGGAGUUUUGGUAAAAGUUCUUUGGAAUAGGACAUCAUAGAGGGUGAGAAUCCCGUAUUUGACCAUUAUUUCCAGCUUUGUGAUACACUUUCAAAGAGUCGGAUUGUUUGGGAAUGCAGUCCAAAAUGGGUGGUAAAUUUCAUCUAAAGCUAAAUAUUGGCAAGAGACCGAUAGCGAACAAGUACCGUGAGGGAAAGAUGAAAAGAACUUUGAAAAGAGAGUUAAACAGUACGUGAAAUUGUCAAAAGGGAAGCGUUUGACACCAGUGUUGUUUUCUCGAAAAUCAAUUAAAAAAAGUUGGAUUUUGUAUUGUUAAGACCUUAUCAGCUUACUGUACUCUUUUCUUGCUUUUUUUAAUGCACUUUUCGUUUAACAAGUCAACAUCAAUUUCUUUUGUUGUAAAAGAGUCAUUGGAAGGUGGCUUUCACUUCGGUGAAAGUGGUUAUAGCCUUUGGCCUUCUGCAAUCGGAGAGAUUGAGGUCUGCAGCGUAGAUCCUUCGGGGCUAGAUACGUAGAUGCUAAGUUAUAGUUUAUUAUAGACAACUUGUUGACUAUAAUUAAUCAUGUAGCUUACUCGUUUGCGCUAUUUUACCUACGCUUAGGAUGUUGACGAUCAGCUGAGCGCG
rnacentral:rRNA from 1 species